AGUAUCCGCACCCCCGUGAAAAUGCCCCACAGUUCUCUGCCCGAGAACAAGGAGCUGGUAUCAGGCACAAUAAACAUUUAGCCCACAACGCCUUGCUCAGCCACACCCCCAAGGGAACUCAGCAGUGAUAAACAUUAAGCCAUAAGUGAAAACUUGACUUAGUCAAAGCCAAGAGAGUCGGUAAAACUCGUGCCAGCCACCGCGGUUAUACGAGAGACCCAAGUUGAUAGUCAACGGCGUAAAGAGUGGUUAAGAAAAACUGAAAACUAAAGCCGAACACCUUCAAAGCUGUUAUACGCAUUCGAAAGUAAGAAGCCCAACUACGAAAGUGGCUUUACACCACCCGAACCCACGAAAGCUAAGAAACAAACUGGGAUUAGAUACCCCACUAUGCUUAGCCAUAAACAUUGAUAGCACUUUACAUCCGCUAUUCGCCAGGGAACUACGAGCAUAAGCUUAAAACCCAAAGGACUUGGCGGUGCUUAAGAUCCACCUAGAGGAGCCUGUUCUAGAACCGAUAACCCCCGUUCAACCUCACCCUCCCUUGUCUCUCCCGCCUAUAUACCGCCGUCGUCAGCUUACCCUGUGAAGGUAUAAUAGUAAGCAAAAUUGGUACAACCCAAAACGUCAGGUCGAGGUGUAGCGUAUGAGAGGGGAAGAAAUGGGCUACAUUCACUACCAUAGUGAAUACGAAUGAUAUACUGAAACGUACAUCUGAAGGAGGAUUUAGCAGUAAGCAGAGAAUAGAGCGCUCCGCUGAAAUAGGCCCUAAAGCGCGCACACACCGCCCGUCACCCUCCCCUAACUCAACUUUAACAAUAAAUAAUACAUCAUAUACUGUCAAGGGGAGGCAAGUC
rnacentral:ncRNA from 1 species